ACGUCAGCGGCAGACGGGUGAGUAACGCGUGGGAACAUACCUCUUGGUUCGGAACAACACAGGGAAACUUGUGCUAAUACCGGAUAAGCCCUUACGGGGAAAGAUUUAUCGCCGAGAGAUUGGCCCGCGUCUGAUUAGCUAGUUGGUAGGGUAAUGGCCUACCAAGGCGACGAUCAGUAGCUGGUCUGAGAGGAUGAUCAGCCACAUUGGGACUGAGACACGGCCCAAACUCCUACGGGAGGCAGCAGUGGGGAAUAUUGGACAAUGGGGGCAACCCUGAUCCAGCCAUGCCGCGUGAGUGAUGAAGGCCCUAGGGUUGUAAAGCUCUUUUGUGCGGGAAGAUAAUGACGGUACCGCAAGAAUAAGCCCCGGCUAACUUCGUGCCAGCAGCCGCGGUAAUACGAAGGGGGCUAGCGUUGCUCGGAAUCACUGGGCGUAAAGGGUGCGUAGGCGGGUUUUUAAGUCAGGCGUGAAAUCCUGGAGCUCAACUCCAGAACUGCCUUUGAUACUGAAGAUCUUGAGUCC
rnacentral:rRNA from 1 species